UGGCGAUGAUUAUAAAUUAUCCGCGCUUCUGAGAGAAAUCUAUGAAGCAGAAAACUUUGGAUAUGGUUGAAUUUCUUGAUAUGAGCCA